UACGAACGCUGGCGGCGUGCUUAACACAUGCAAGUCGAACGGAAAGGCCCUGCUUUUGUGGGGUGCUCGAGUGGCGAACGGGUGAGUAACACGUGAGUAACCUGCCCUUGACUUUGGGAUAACUUCAGGAAACUGGGGCUAAUACCGGAUAGGAGCUCCUGCUUCAUGGUGGGGGUUGGAAAGUUUCGGCGGUUGGGGAUGGACUCGCGGCUUAUCAGCUUGUUGGUGGGGUAGUGGCUUACCAAGGCUUUGACGGGUAGCCGGCCUGAGAGGGUGACCGGCCACAUUGGGACUGAGAUACGGCCCAGACUCCUACGGGAGGCAGCAGUGGGGAAUAUUGCACAAUGGGAUGAAGCCUGAUGCAGCAACGCCGCGUGCGGGAUGACGGCCUUCGGGUUGUAAACCGCUUUCGCCUGUGACGAAGCGUGAGUGACGGUAAUGGGUAAAGAAGCACCGGCUAACUACGUG
rnacentral:rRNA from 1 species